rnacentral:rRNA from 1 species
GAUGAACGCUGGCGGCGUGCCUAAUACAUGCAAGUCGAGCGAACAGACGAGGAGCUUGCUCCUCUGACGUUAGCGGCGGACGGGUGAGUAACACGUGGAUAACCUACCUAUAAGACUGGGAUAACUUCGGGAAACCGGAGCUAAUACCAGAUAAUAUAUUGAACCGCAUGGUUCAAUAGUGAAAGACGGUUUUGCUGUCACUUAUAGAUGGAUCCGCGCCGCAUUAGCUAGUUGGUAAGGUAACGGCUUACCAAGGCAACGAUGCGUAGCCGACCUGAGAAGGUGAUCGGCCACACUGGAACUGAGACACGGUCCAGACUCCUACGGGAGGCAGCAGUAGGGAAUCUUCCGCAAUGGGCGAAAGCCUGACGGAGCAACGCCGCGUGAGUGAUGAAGGUCUUCGGAUCGUAAAACUCUGUUAUUAGGGAAGAACAAAUGUGUAAGUAACUAUGCACGUCUUGACGGUACCUAAUCAGAAAGCCACGGCUAACUACGUG